ACUCUUAGAACCUUAUCCCCGGAUUCACUACAAGCACUGGGCGCUGUAGAUCAGGAUUUGCACUAAAAAUCCUGACUUCUAUGGAAAAUGUUGUUAAGUGUACAUGCUUGGAAGGAAAUAGAUCAACUGCUCCCAUGCGGUGGAGUGGAGCACAGCCUCAAACAACUAACCCAGCAAAUAGCACUGCUGUAACCCCACGCAUUCAGAAGUCUGUUACUUUCCUCGUCAGUUUUCUUUGUAACACACUUUCAGAGCUGCUCAUGUAUACCAUGAUGGCCUAAUUUGUAGUUUAUGUAUUGUAUUAGCGUUGUUACCAAGGGGGUGAGGUGAGGUGUAGCUUAUUUAAAUGACUUCCUAAGAAGCGCACAGUCAGCCUUCAACAGGAUGAAAUACACUUUACAGGUACGGCUGGUGACUGUCUGCUGCUCAUGGGAGAGAUCAGACAGAUGGCAAUAUUUUGCAGUGUCUGGACCCUCAGUGACCUAUCUGCAGUUGUCCCUUAGCACAGGGGUACUUCAUCCUUUCACACUACAGUGGAGCCGGGCCCUGAAUCUUUAGUUUCAGCUGAUGUUGGCUGGGUAAAAUUAUUUACACUACUAUUAGGCAUGCAGACAUAGUGUUCAGUGGCAUGCAGACAUAGUGUUCAGUGGCAUGCAGCUGCUUGGAAACUGAACCCAGGCAAGCAGAGUCCCAACUGCCAAUUUCUCCUGAGAUCACAGGGGAGUUCGUGUCCUGCAGGGAACUGAGCGCAGUUCAGUAGCUGGGAUCAGGCAGGCAAACUAUAAAGGAGGUGAUACAAAUUUUCAAUUCUAAUUCUUUUUUUUUUCAAUAAUUGUUCAAAAAACAAACCUUUUUUUUCUUGUACUUAAAUGCAUUUCUCUUUGUUUUUCCUUAAAAAAAAAAAAACAAAAUUGCCAGAAAAGCAGAACAAGUCAUGAAUAAUGUAUCAAAAAGAAUUAGUGAGCUUAUCUUCUGUCUGUGCCAUUUGCAAACUGGUAGGGGGUUAAACAUUUUGAUUAAUACUUUAUGAAGCUCAUUUUUGGGGUGUUAUUGUCUGGACAUUCAGAACAAGCAUUUGGAGGGAUUUGGGCCAGGUUUCAUAACCUCAUUGUGCCACGGUUCAUCUGGCUUUGAAGUGUAUUCAGAUGCCUGCCUGUGUGUCACAGGGCCAUAAGGAGAACACGUGUUUCAGGAGUGCUCUGAGAUGAAAGGUGCUGUGCAAGUGCAAAGUAUUCCUGCUACUGCUGCUACCAGAGGAGUAUUACUGCUGGAGAAAGGGUGAUGGCAUGCCCAGUUUGCUUUGCUGAUAUGGCACCAUUUCUUGUUGGUGGCUCGACAAGAGUCCAGCUUUUUGUGUGGGAAGUGUUUUGACUACAUUGUUGGAACUGGCAAGAAUAAAUUGUAAUGCACAACUUAAUUUCAAAUGACUUGCUCUAGAUAGCUCUUUUGCUUUGCGAUUGGAUUGCUGCAUCAGUUGUUUCCAACCUUUUUCAAUUUUACUGCUUUGAAAAUCUUCCAGUGGAGAUACAGAAAGAACAUUCAUACAAGCUGGAUAGCCUAUUAGUGUUUACAUUUUUCAUAGUUAGCUGUCUCUGACUUUUUGUAUGUAGUUUUUUUUUUAGUACAGGGUUCUGUGGGCCAUAUGUCAAACACUUACAACACUCUCACUGCAACCAUUUUUUUUUCCUGAAUAAAGUCAGAUAAGUAGAAUGUGUAGGGGGUAAAUUUCACUGCAUCCACUCUUGUUUUUAGUGACAGUAUUUGACAUUUACUUCCCUGAACAUAUAGGAUUUAUGUUCGUAUUUUAUUAGACUAUUUUCCCUGUUUGCAUAGUAGUCUCACUGUGUUAGCCCUUCUUUCAUUCUGCUGCAAAUCAGGGACCAGCUGAUGCUUCUCUAGCCAUGGCCAAGUAAGGUGAGCUGAGCUGAGACAGGCCUCAGGUGGCUCCCUGCCUGUUACAAAGAUUUUCACUGCUGUUCCAUACCGGUACGCACCAAGAAGAUGGGGGCCUUUGAUCUGGAAUGUGUAGUUCUGCAGACAAAAGACAGGCUAGCACAAGUCCAUCAUUACCAUUCCCUCUGUCACCAAUUAAAAAGUGUUUAGCACAUUUGAAGAGAAAAUAAGUAGUUAACAAUAUUACAGUAUUACAGAGCAGGAAGACACUUCGUGUUUUCAGUUCUGUUAAGAGGGAAUAAAAUGUCAGUUACAUAAGGGGAAAUAUUAUAGAAAUGAAACAUUUAUAGCUUGGACCAAAAAAAAAAAAAGGAACUUGGUAGCUGUCUGCAGUUCUAUGAACUGCAAUGUGAUUAUGGAGGAGAAGAAACAGUGUUAGCUAGGUCAGUGCUGCAGAGGAGAGCUUGUCCCAGAGCAAUAAGAGAGAUUGAGGCAAUUAAACAUAAUUUAGACCGAAAAGUUUUCCAGAUAAUUUUUCCAAGUAAAAUGCAGUAGUUGUUCCAGCUCAUACAUUACUUGGUUCUAAAAUAUGUUGGCAAUGAAGAGUGUUAGGCUUUAGAUGGCAUUAGAUGU